rnacentral:rRNA from 1 species
AGGGUUUGAUCAUGGCUCAGAACGUACGCUGGCGGCACGCCUAACACAUGCAAGUCGAACGAAGUAGCAAUACUUAGUGGCAGACGGGUGAGUAACAUGUAGGUAUCUGCCCUUUGGCCUGGAAUAACACGAGGAAACUUGUGCUAAUACCGGAUAAGUCUUUACAGAGAAAGCUUUAUGCACCAAUGGAUGAGCCUGCACUUGAUUAGUUUGUUGGUGGGGUAAUGGCCUACCAAGACUGUGAUCAAUAGCUGAUUUGAGAGGAUGAUCAGCCACAUUGGGACUGAGACACGGCCCAAACUCCUACGGGAGGCAGCAGUGGGGAAUCUUGCACAAUGGAGGAAACUCUGAUGCAGCGAUGCCGCGUGAGUGAAGAAGGCCUUUGGGUUGUAAAGCUCUUUCGUCGGGGAAGAAAAUGACUGUACCCGAAUAAGAAGGUCCGGCUAACUUCGUGCCAGCAGCCGCGGUAAUACGAAGGGACCUAGCGUAGUUCGGAAUUACUGGGCUUAAAGAGUUCGUAGGUGGUUGAAAAAGUUGGUGGUGAAAUCCCAGAGCUUAACUCUGGAACUGCCAUCAAAACUUUUCAGCUAGAGUAUGAUAGAGGAAAGCAGAAUUUCUAGUGUAGAGGUGAAAUUCGUAGAUAUUAGAAAGAAUACCGAUUGCGAAGGCAGCUUUCUGGAUCAUUACUGACGCUGAGGAACGAAAGCAUGGGUAGCGAAGAGGAUUAGAUACCCUCGUAGUCCAUGCCGUAAACGAUGUGUGUUAGACGUUGGAAAUUUAUUUUCAGUGUCGCAGCGAAAGCGAUAAACACACCGCCUGGGGAGUACGACCGCAAGGUUAAAACUCAAAUGAAUUGACGGGGACCCGCACAAGUAGUGGAGCAUGUGGUUUAAUUCGAAGAUACGCGCAGAACCUUACCAACACUUGACAUGUUCGUCGCGACUCUAAGAGAUUAGAGUUUUCGGUUCGGCCGGACGAAACACAGGUGCUGCAUGGCUGUCGUCAGCUCGUGUCGUGAGAUGUUGGGUUAAGUCCCGCAACGAGCGCAACCCUCACUUUUAGUUGCCAUCAUUAAGUUGGGCACUCUGAAAGAACUGCCAGUGAUAAGCUGGAGGAAGGUGGGGAUGACGUCAAGUCCUCAUGGCCCUUACGUGUUGGGCUACACACGUGCUACAAUGGUAUUUACAACAGGAAGCAAAACGGCGACGUUAAGCAAAUCCUUAAAAAAUACCUCAGUUCGGAUUGCACUCUGCAACUCGAGUGCAUGAAGCUGGAAUUACUAGUAAUCGUGGAUCAGCGUGCCACGGUGAAUGCGUUCCCGGGUCUUGUACACACCGCCCGUCACACCAUGGGAGUUGGUUCUACCUUAAGGCAAGGUUUCAAACCCUUGACCACGGUAUAGUCAGCGACUGGGGUGAAGUCAUAACAAGGUAGC